GAUGAACGCUGGCGGCGUGCCUAAUACAUGCAAGUCGAGCGAAUGGACGAGAAGCUUGCUUCUCUGAUGUUAGCGGCGGACGGGUGAGUAACACGUGGAUAACCUACCUAUAAGACUGGGAUAACUUCGGGAAACCGUAGCUAAUACCGGAUAAUAUUUUGAACCGCAUGGUUCAAAAGUGAAAGACGGUCUUGCUGUCACUUAUAGAUGGAUCCGCGCUGCAUUAGCUAGUUGGUAAGGUAACGGCUUACCAAGGCAACGAUGCAUAGCCGACCUGAGAGGGUGAUCGGCCACACUGGAACUGAGACACGGUCCAGACUCCUACGGGAGGCAGCAGUAGGGAAUCUUCCGCAAAGGGCGAAAGCCUGACGGAGCAACGCCGCGUGAGUGAUGAAGGUCUUCGGAUCGUAAAACUCUGUUAUUAGGGAAGAACAUAUGUGUAAGUAACUGUGCACAUCUUGACGGUACCUAAUCAGAAAGCCACGGCUAACUACGUG
rnacentral:rRNA from 1 species